UUCACAAUGUGUGUUUUUACUAGGUUGUGGAACAAUAUUAGUGGUUUCAUUAAGCACCUAUUCAUUAUCAUCCAUAUUUACACCUUCAAAUUUGGUUUCUUGUGAGUUUACACCAUCAGAUUCGGUCUCUUAGGAAUUUACACCAUCAUCGCCAUUGCACCUUCAGUUCCGUCGCCGCCGCCCUACCCUGCCGCCCACGCCACCGGAGUACACCUUCAGUCCCGUCGCCACCGCCCACGCCACCGGAGUACGUUUCAGGUUGGCACUGUUUUGAACACCAAGGAUGCUGCUGAAAAUGCCAAAAAUGUUGGAGCAAAGUUCAUCAUGAGUCCUGUAAUAGUUGUUAUUAUUCAUUUUAUGAUCUCUUUUAAAGGUCACUUUUUAUUAAGUUUAGUUUAACAAUAUAAAUCGAAACACAAAUGCGAAUGUAAACAUAGAUGGUGUGCAUUGUGACCAA